UGAUGAUCGAGAUAGAGAAAGAAAUUCGGGACGAUGAGUCAUGAUUAAACGUGUACUUUGAGGCACGGUGCUUGCUUUUUCCUUCACGUUGAAAAGCAAUAGGGUGAACUGGGACCGGAAGCCGGGACGACUGGGUGGACCAUUGUGGGAACCCUUUGCCAUCUCCUCAGCAUUCUCCGCCGAAUCGCACUGAAACAAUGUUGUUGUUUUUGUUUUUGUUGUUUUUUGUUAUGUGAAUGUGUUGGGUUUGGUUCAGUGGAGUAUUGGUCGAGAUUGGAGGCAGAAGUCGAGGUUGUUUAUGAGAGGGACGUGACAGUCGUCGAAACGGUUGGAGGGAGGGGAAUGGGAGCGUGAAAUGAAGCGGAGGAGCUGUUCGAAGAGUGUUUCGUCGCAGGGAAUGGUGAGAGGACCGUGGUUGGAGAACCCGUACUCUUCCUCCGCCUCUACAAGUAGCUUCGUGAACACGGGGUGGUUCAGGUAGGUGGCGCGCACCACGAAUCUCCUGGAGUUACUGCCCACGCACACCGCCACGUGUCCCGCCGGAACAUCGGAGGGUACUUGUCGGUGGGCCGACAUGCGGGCCUUGCUACGCCAGCGCCGCAGCAUUUGGCGGAGCCUGACUAUGUGCCGGAUUCUGGUACAUUUUGCAAGUCCCCCUUCUGACAUUGAGAUUGCCAUUUUCCCUCUCCACUGUUUUGUUUGGAGUGUGUGAGAAAAGGAAAAGGAAAAUUGGGAGUGGGAGUGGGGGGAUUGGAAAAGAGGGUGGUGGUGCUCUUUUAUAAUAGCCUGCUGACACUGUGCCCUUCCUCUUCCUAAUAAUUACCAAACAACUGUCUCCUCUUUUUGCACCAAAAGAAGACUUACGUUUGAGGAAGAAACUCACCUAUGACACAUGUAAAAUUGAG
rnacentral:sRNA from 1 species